ACGAACAUGGAAAAUAUCGAGGCAGGGUGUCGUUGCACACGUGUCGGCCCCUGAAGGGCCCUCGAUUCACGAGUUGUAAGUUUCGACCACAUCUGUCCUCGACUUGCUUUGGGAAGUACACGUAUACCACGCGCCUUGAUGAACGGGUGUAAUUGAGCCACGUGGUUAGAUUCGAGAGCCCGUGAUGGGGCGGGAAUAAAGUAUUCUUUGUUUUGUGGCUUGAGGUAGUUGCAAGCGUGUGUGAAGUUCAGGCGCUUCUGGCAAUUCAUGUGGACGGUCUAGAGAUGGGGGAGAGGCAGCACACGUGUGGAUGUGGAUGUGUAAUACGAGUGCCAGAUCUGCGCCUACAAGAGGUGGGUGGGGCCCAUCAGGCUUAAAGGGGAGGAUGGUACAACAGUCAGGUAGGUAUGUGAGUCAUGUUUUGAAAUCGGACCGGAAUGGUCUACCACACCUGUUCUAUGCAGCGUGUAAAACACUCGAGCUCUGUGUUUCCCAUCAUGCUGUAUAUGCAAAUCCAGUCCGUCCAUCAGGUGAGAGACCUUAUUUGAACCGUACAUACAAAAGAUCAUUCCUCUAUGUAAGCAAGGAUCCGACGGAAACAAAGGAAAAGUGCUACCAAAACUUCAAAGUUCAUGUGGUGUGGCCCACCUGGUUUUGGAUCAGGAUAAUUUUUGUAUCUUCA